AAAAAUCGAGUUUCAACUCCCAAACCCCAAUGUGAACGUUACCAAUCUGUUGCCUCGGCGGGAUUCUCUUGCCCCGGGCGCGUCGCAGCCCCGGAUCCCAUGGCGCCCGCCGGAGGACCAACUCCAAACUCUUUUUUUCUCUCCGUCGCGGCUCCCGUCGCGGCUCUGUUUUAUUUUUGCUCUGAGCCUUUCUCGGCGACCCUAGCGGGCGUCUCGAAAAUGAAUCAAAACUUUCAACAACGGAUCUCUUGGUUCUGGCAUCGAUGAAGAACGCAGCGAAAUGCGAUAAGUAAUGUGAAUUGCAGAAUUCAGUGAAUCAUCGAAUCUUUGAACGCACAUUGCGCCCGCCAGUAUUCUGGCGGGCAUGCCUGUCCGAGCGUCAUUUCAACCCUCGAACCCCUCCGGGGGGUCGGCGUUGGGGAUCGGCCCCUCACCGGGCCGCCCCCGAAAUACAGUGGCGGUCUCGCCGCAGCCUCUCCUGCGCAGUAGUUUGCACACUCGCACCGGGAGCGCGGCGCGGCCACAGCCGUAAAACACCCCAAACUUCUGAAAUGUUGACCUCGGAUCAAGUAAGAAUACCCCGCUGAACUUAAGCAUAUCAUA
rnacentral:rRNA from 1 species